UUCAUGGCAACAGAAUCCACAACAACAAUGACUUUUAUCAGCAUCUUCAUCUGGGCACUUGUCAUCUGCACUCAGGAAUCCAGUGGACAGUAUACUGUGACUCAGACUCCAGCAGUGAAAUCUGUUCUCCCAGGAGACACAGUCGCUUUGAGCUGUAAAGUCAGCAGCGCAGUGUACAGUAACAACCGCCUAGCCUGGUACCAACAGAAACCCGGAGAAGCUCCCAAACUCCUGAUCUAUAGGGCAAGUAACCUUCAGUCUGGGAUCCCAACUCGUUUCAGUGGCAGUGGAUCUGGGACUGACUUCACUCUGACCAUCAGUGGAGUCCAGGCUGAAGAUGCAGGAGAUUACUACUGUCAGAGUUUCCACUACCCCGGCAGUAGCAGAGUGUUCACACAAAUCCACACCAGCCCUGUUGAACAGAGCCCAGUGGCACACAAGCCUUUAUCAGAGCACUGCCACUCCCCACACUGGAUCAGUGUCUCACUGUUUCUAAAUGACAUGUGGGAUUGGACACUGCACAGGACACUGGAGUGUCAGAGUGGCAAUCAGAUGAAGCAGGAGCCUGGAGACGUGUCAGAAACAUCAAACAGAGCCCUCACAAGCAGCACAGAAUGCUGA